GAUGAAGAACGUAGCGAAAUGCGAUACGUAAUGUGAAUUGCAGAAUUCAGUGAAUCAUCGAAUCUUUGAACGCAUAUUGCGCUCUCUGGUAUUCCGGAGAGCAUGCUUGUUUGAGUAUCAGUAAACACCUCAACUUCCAUAUCUUUUUUGAAAUGGGAGUUGGACUUGAGUGAUCCCAACGCUUUUCCUCACCGAAAAGUGGCGGGUUACUUGAAAUGCAGGUGCAGCUGGACUUUUCUCUGAGCUAUAAGCAUAUCUAUUUAGUCUGCCUAAAAAACAGAUUAUUACCUUUGCUGCAGCUAACAUAAAGGAGAUUAGUUCUUGUGCUGACUGAUGCAGGAUUCACAAAGACAGGCUUCGGCCGACUUUGUAAACUCGAUCUCAAAUCAAGUAAGACUACCCGCUGAACUUAAGCAUAUUCAAUAAGCGGAGGA
rnacentral:misc_RNA from 1 species